CGUGAGGUGAAAGGGGGCCUGCAGGCAGGGGUCCCAGCCUGCUUCCAUCAUCCCUUCCUUGCCUGUGUCCUUGUGGGGCUGCCUGAUGUCUCCAGGCUCAUCCACCUGGCCCCUGAGCACGGGCACAAGAUCUGCUGUCACAGCCUCGUCCCAUAAUUGGAUGAUGAUGGAAGUAGAGGAUUCUCAGGCAAGGCCAUCUUCAUCUGAAGAGAUCUCAGAGCUCCAAGCACUGAAGUGAAAUUGCCAAGGGACACCCCACACAGGGGCACCCGUUGGUCCCCUUCGGCUUCACCUUUCAUUUGGGACAAAGUUGGAGAUGGUGAUUCGAAGUUUUUUCUGGAAAGAGAGGCUUAAGUGAUCUACAUAAUACAAGGCAAAGAGGAGAGCGGGGAUUGAUGAAGCUGAAGAAAUUAUGGAGGGGGUUCACAAGAGAAAGAAGGGGCUGUGAAGGAAGUAACGUGAACAUGAGGACUUGCCAGGGAAUCCUUGUGAGCCAUGGAUCUCCUUCAUGAUUUUCAAGAAAAAUGCAAGAAAAGACUCAGAAUUUAUUUUGUGCUUUAGUAAGCAUAACUGAACAACAUAAAUUCUGACUUAAUAAGGGCUACAUGUGUUUUGUCUCUCUUCCCAACCUCAGAGGGAAAGUGGGCUACUUCCAGUAUGUAGAUUUUAAUUCUGAUAUACGGAACACUCUGAGGUGCACCCCAUCUCCACCCCAAUCUCGCUGAGAACCACUGAUAUAGAACUUCUUAGAACAACUAGCAACUUUGUAAGGGUCAAACCUGUACAGCCAUCAGGCCUUCCUUGCUGAGCAUCCUCCUGGUCGCCACCUCUCCCUCAUGCCUGUGUCAGUGCUCAGCAGAAGCUCUAUGCAUAGCUGGUUGCCCCCUCAUAUUUUGCAGACUCUUCUGUUCGCUU